rnacentral:rRNA from 1 species
UACGGAGGGUGCAAGCGUUGCUCGGAAUUAUUGGGCGUAAAGGGUAGGUAGGUGGUCUUGUUUGUCUGGGGUGAAAGCCUCGAGCUUAACUCGAGAAGUGCCCCAGAAACGGCAAGACUAGAGUCCUGGAGAGGGUCGUGGAAUUCCCGGUGUAGCGGUGAAAUGCGUAGAGAUCGGGAGGAACACCAGAGGCGAAAGCGGCGACCUGGACAGGUACUGACACUCAACUACGAAAGCGUGGGGAGCAAACAGG